GCCCGUAUAGCUAAGUGGUUAAGGCGCCACACUUGUAAUGUGGCGAUACCGCAGGUUCAAAUCCUGCUGCGGGCA
rnacentral:tRNA from 1 species